UCCUUCUGUUUAUUCGUGUGCUGC
rnacentral:piRNA from 1 species